GAUGAAGAACGCAGCGAAAUGCGAUAAGUAAUGUGAAUUGCAGAAUUCAGUGAAUCAUCGAAUCUUUGAACGCACAUUGCGCCCGCCAGUAUUCUGGCGGGCAUGCCUGUUCGAGCGUCAUUUCAACCCUCAAGACCCCUUCGGGGGACUUGGUGUUGGGGACCGGCACAGGGGCCUGCCUGCUUGUCUUGCAGCGCCCUCGCCGCCCCCGAAAUGAAUUGGCGGCCUCGUCGCGGCCUCCCCUGCGUAGUAGCACAAACCUCGCAACGGGAACGUGACGGCGGCCACUGCCGUAAAACAACCCAAUUUUAUUAGAGUUGACCUUGAAUCAGGUAGGAAUACCCGCUGAACUUAAGCAUAUCAAUAAGCGGAGGA
rnacentral:misc_RNA from 1 species